rnacentral:rRNA from 1 species
GAUGAACGCUGGCGGCGUGCCUAAUACAUGCAAGUCGAGCGAAUGGAUUAAGAGCUUGCUCUUAUGAAGUUAGCGGCGGACGGGUGAGUAACACGUGGGUAACCUGCCCAUAAGACUGGGAUAACUCCGGGAAACCGGGGCUAGUACCGGAUAACAUUUUGAACCGCAUGGUUCGAAAUUGAAAGGCGGCUUCGGCUGUCACUUAAGGAUGAACCCGCGUCGCAUUAGCUAGUUGGUGAGGUAACGGCUCACCAAGGCAACGAUGCGUAGCCGACCUGGGAGGGUGAUCGGCCACACUGGGACUGAGACACGGCCCAGACUCCUACGGGAGGCAGCAGUAGGGAAUCUUCCGCAAUGGACGAAAGUCUGACGGAGCAACGCCGCGUGAGUGAUGAAGGCUUUCGGGUCGUAAAACUCUGUUGUUAGGGAAGAACGAGUGCUAGUUGAAUAAGCUGGCACCUUGACGGUACCUAACCAGAAAGCCACGGCUAACUACGUGCCAGCCGCCGCGGUAA